rnacentral:lncRNA from 1 species
CUCAUUCCAACCCAAACCCUACCCUAAAUCAUUUUUCACUUCCCUCUAUUCACGAUAUCCAUACUCUCUAUCUACCACCGCCAUGAGAAGCAUCGUGAGAAACCCACCAUCGGAAGCUACAGCAGCAGCAUCGUGAGAAGUCACAGAAGCAACGUCCAUAAAGGGGCGACAACAGUGAUGUCGUAUUCGGCAUUGCUGCAGCAAUUGCGAGCGGUGCUGUGCUCAUCCCGUAGUAAUUUUGGGACUUUUUUGUGGAUGGUGUUUGGUGGUGGAUGUCGUUUGGUAGUUGUGUGGUGGUGGCAAUCUGAGCUGUC